rnacentral:tRNA from 1 species
GAGAGAGGCCAGCAGCAAUUAAGCACUGCUAAUGCUUAUACCCGCGGCUAAAUUCCGCGGCUUUCUC